rnacentral:rRNA from 1 species
AGCCCAGCUUGCUGGGUGGAUUAGUGGCGAACGGGUGAGUAACACGUGAGUAACCUGCCCUUAACUCUGGGAUAAGCCUGGGAAACUGGGUCUAAUACCGGAUAGGAGCGUCCACCGCAUGGUGGGUGUUGGAAAGAUUUAUCGGUUUUGGAUGGACUCGCGGCCUAUCAGCUUGUUGGUGAGGUAAUGGCUCACCAAGGCGACGACGGGUAGCCGGCCUGAGAGGGUGACCGGCCACACUGGGACUGAGACACGGCCCAGACUCCUACGGGAGGCAGCAGUGGGGAAUAUUGCACAAUGGGCGCAAGCCUGAUGCAGCGACGCCGCGUGAGGGAUGACGGCCUUCGGGUUGUAAACCUCUUUCAGUAGGGAAGAAGCGAAAGUGACGGUACCUGCAGAAGAAGCACCGGCUAACUACGUGCCAGCAGCCGCGGUAAUACGUAGGGUGCGAGCGUUAUCCGGAAUUAUUGGGCGUAAAGAGCUCGUAGGCGGUUUGUCGCGUCUGUCGUGAAAGUCCGGGGCUUAACCCCGGAUCUGCGGUGGGUACGGGCAGACUAGAGUGCAGUAGGGGAGACUGGAAUUCCUGGUGUAGCGGUGGAAUGCGCAGAUAUCAUGAGGAACACCGAUGGCGAAGGCAGGUCUCUGGGCUGUAACUUGACGCUGAAGAGCGAAAGCAUGGGGAGCGAACCGGAUUACAUACCCUGGUAUUCCAUGCCGUAAACGUUGGGCACUAUGUGUGGGGACCAUUCCACGGUUU